rnacentral:lncRNA from 1 species
CUGUGAAUGAGACUCUUUGUAUACUGUGGUCUGGUAACUGUCAAGUUAAGGAGAGGCUGUCAUCUUUUAUUUAUUAUACAUCGUGUUCCCUUUUCCCUUUAUAAUUUUUUUUAGGGCACUAAGAAUUAGAUUUUUUUUAUUUUGUUUUUUUGUUUAUUUUUUUCAAGAUAGGUUCUCACUAUGUAGCCCUGGGUGCCCUGGAACUUGUUGCAUAGCCCAGGCUGACCUAGAUCUCACAGAGGUCCACCUGCUGGUAUCAAAGAGAAAUGAAAAAGAAGAAGUUUCCAACUGACUCAGGGGAUUUAGAAGCGAUAGAAGGAAAGGAAAAAGAAAAAGAGAGUGCUGUGCACACUGAAAUUUACCAGAACACAAGCAAAAAUGUUGCAGCAGGGCAACCAAUGAAAAGAGGACAAAAGAGGUCAGAAGAGGGUGUCCGAUCCCCUGGAACUGGAGUUACGGACAGUUGGUCCAUGUGGGUGCUGGGAACUAAACCUGGGUCAUCUACAAGGUCAACCAGUACUCUUUACUACUAAACCAUCUCUCCAGCCCAAUUAUACUUUUUUAAAAUGUUGUAGCACUAUAAAAAAGAGAUUGCAGCUAUAACAGUGUGUCUUUAGAAAUUAGCUCUGGGCUGGGGCUGUAGCUCACUGGCCUGCUUAAUACGUUCAGGCCAUGGGUUCCAUCUCCAGCACUGGGCAAAAAAAAUUAAUGGUUUAGUUAACAUUGUUUUAAGAAUCUCUACAAUAAAUGCAUAACCUAGAUCUGCUGCUUAAUUUCCUGUUAUUCCUGCAUGUACCAUAAUCCCAAAUACACUGUCUUGCUAUUACAUUUUUCUUAAAAAAAAAUCUUAUUUUUUAUUUUAUGUGUAUGAGUGUAUUGCCUGCAUGUGUCUUAAGUGCAUCCAUGUCGUGCAGUACCCACAGAUGUCAGAAAAGGGCAAUGUAUUCCCUGGAACUGGAGUUAUAGACAGUUGUUAGCUGCCACGUGGGUGGUGGGAACCAAACCCAGGUCAUUUGCAAGAGCAGCCAGUGCUCUUAACCUCUGAGCCUUCUCUCCAGCCCUGUUAGACUUCUGAAGUCACUUUUCAGUUUUAAAGUAAGUUGCCAAUUUCUCAUUUGUGUCAUCCCUUUACCAUAU